UGGGGGAUAUUGCACAAUGGGCGAAAGCCUGAUGCAGCGACGCCGCGUGGGGGAUGAAGGCUUUCGGGUUGUAAACCUCUUUCGCUAUCGAACAAGGCCCGCUUAGGGUGGGUUGAGGGUAGGUGGAGAAGAAGCGCCGGCUAACUACGUGCCAGCAGCCGCGGUAAUACGUAGGGCGCGAGCGUUGUCCGGAAUUAUUGGGCGUAAAGGGCUUGUAGGCGGCUUGUUGCGCCUGCUGUGAAAACGCGGGGCUUAACUUCGCGCGUGCAGUGGGUACGGGCAGGCUUGAGUGUGGUAGGGGUGACUGGAAUUCCAGGUGUAGCGGUGGAAUGCGCAGAUAUCUGGAGGAACACCGAUGGCGAAGGCAGGUCACUGUGCCAUUACUGACGCUGAGGAGCGAAAGCAUGGGUAGCGAACAGG
rnacentral:rRNA from 1 species